AAAAGAUGAUGCUGUGGCUACCGGUCCCUUUCAUGGCAGCAAUUCCCAGAGGUGCCCAUUCGCAGAUUCAGCUGGUGGAGUCUGGGGGAGGCGUUAAAACCACAGGAGAGUCUCUCAGCAUCUCCUGUAAAGCCUCCGGAUUUACCUUUGGAAGCUAUUGGAUGUAUUGGUACCGCCAAGCUCCCGGGAAAGCGCCAGAGUGGAUCUCCUACAUUAACCCCGACAGCACGAACGCGGACUAUGGACACUCAGUGAAAGGGCGAUUCACCAUCUCCAGAGACAACCCCGACAACCUGCUGUAUCUGCCAAUGACCGGCCUGAGACCCGAGGACGCGGCGGUGUAUCACUGCCAGAGAGACACAGUGACUGGCCGGGAAUCUAACCACGUACAAACCCAUCCCCUGUGCAGUCACAGCCCGCUGCAGGGCACAGCCCAGGGGAAGGGUCAGACACACGCAGAACUGAACCAAGGAGAUAAUGUCCCCAGCGCUGCCACCAGCGCGUGA